rnacentral:snRNA from 1 species
GUCCUUGUUUCAGCAGCACAUGUUCUAAAAUUGGGAUGAUACAGAAAAGAUUAGUACGGCCCCUGAGCAGGGGUGACAUACAAGUUCCUGAAAUGUUCGGUUUUUGU